rnacentral:misc_RNA from 1 species
GAUGAAGAACGUAGCGAAAUGCGAUAAGUAAUGUGAAUUGCAGAAUUCAGUGAACCAUCGAAUCUUUGAACGCACAUUGCGCCCGGCAGUAAUCUGCCGGGCAUGCCUGUCCGAGCGUCAUUUCUGCCCUCGAGCCUGUCCAGCAUCUAGGUGCUGUUCGGGUUCGGCGUUGGGGCACUACGGGAAGCCUCGUGCUAUCCCCCGUAGGCCCCGAAUUGAAGUGGCGGUCCUGCCGCGGCUCCCCCUGCGUAGUAUUACAGCUCGCUUCGGGACCCGGUGGAGGCCUGCCGUCAAACCUUACUCUCUAAGUUUGACCUCGGAUCAGGUAGGGUUACCCGCUGAACUUAAGCAUAUCAAUAAGCGGAGGA